CAUAGUUUCUUCUUCCCUCUUCUGAGGAAGGGGAAUAAGAGCCAUAAAGUCCUUUUUGAUCACUCCUGGGCCUCGCUUUGGUGCCUCAUCACUGCCAACUUGAAAAACCAAUGAAGAGUAAUAAUCAGAGGGGUGUACCAGGUGAGUGACUUUCUGAGCAACGUUUCUUACCUAUGCCCCAGGGAGACAUCAGACUUCCCUAUGGAUUGGGUGUGGAUGACAAAUUGGGCCCUUGGUUCCCUUCAGAAGGGAGACCCCUAUGACUAUAACCUUUUAUUUAUUUAUUUAUUUAUUUAUUUAUUUAUUUAUUCUUCAGAUAGUAUAGCAGUGAUUUCUAUUCAGUUAUGUUUUCUUUUUUUCUAUGACACAUGUUCCCAUUGAUCAACACCAUGCCCAUCUGGUCUAGUUGAUACCAGCAUCAUAAACUCAGAAAAAUAGGAUACCCACUUUAACUUUUUGGGGCCCUAGCUGUCCAGCUUUGCAAGCUUCUAAUGUCCCUACCCUGUUUAAUCAGAUGGCAGCCAAUUCAGAAGUCAUAUCAUAUCUUGUACUUAGUUAUUUUUUUCUCCAGUACCUGGUUGCUUGUCCUAUUUGGACACCACUAAGCUGCUAUAAAAGUUUGGUCCUGAGAUAUGAUGAGUUUAAUUUGGAUGUCAACAUUUGUCUAAAUUAAUUUGAAUUUAAUUUUUAAACAUGAAACACUAUUUAAGACUUACAACUAUGUUUUAAAUGAGAAAAUACAGAUCAUGCAAGUUUUUCUAACCUGGAAUAUAAGUCUGGAAAAGACCUUGAGACCUCAUCUGGUCCAUCACAAAGCUAAACAGUACAUCAGACAAAAUAAAUUAGAACAAUUCAGAAGCUUUGAGAAUCUCCAAACAAUGUCACUUCUGCUAGAGACACUCCCAGAGAAAAGGAAGGCCCAUUCUUCAAUGUCUUUACAAGUAGAACAAGAUGCAGAAAUGAACAAAUUGGCUACAGGAAGCAAGUCUGUCUUUAUAAAGACAUAGAUUAUACAAACUUACUUCUACAACUACAGCUUUAUCUUCCCACAUUUUACAUUUUAGGGUAGAAAUUCCAGUGGCUGGUUAAAACAGUACAAUAUCUGGGAUAACUGUUAUAAUAAACCUGAACUUUUGAUUAAAUUAACUCUUGAC
rnacentral:lncRNA from 1 species